CCUCAUCACUGCGUGACAGACUGAAAGACACUGCAUAAGGAGAAAGACACUAAAACAGCCCCCCCCCUCUAAGGAGCAGCUUCCAGAUGCUCCACAGACACAAAAAACAAACCAAAAAGACCAGGAGGGAGGUGGACUGGUGGAGGUAGAACAGGGGGAGGGAUGGAGGGCCAGGCCCGUGUAGGAGAACAGGGACAGGCAGCGAUGGCUCCACUGGCAGCCAAGGUGGAUCAAUCAGUUCAGGGGGCCAGGGUGGACCCGAAAGUUCAGGGGACCACGAGGGACCAGGCAGUUCAGGUGGCCACGGAGGAUCAGUCCAUUCUAGUUGUGCAGACGGCCAGGGAGGAACUCGCCAUUUGAGUGGCCAGAACGGAACCUGCCAUUCGGGGAGCCAGUGAGGAUCAGGCUGUGGCAAUGGCCAGGGAGGAACCCGCCACUUGAGCGGCCAGAGUGGGACCUGCCACUCGGGGAGCCAGUGAGGAGCAGGCUGUGGCGAUGGCCAGGGAGGAACCCGCCACUUGAGCGGCCAGAGCGGAACCGCCUCGGGAACCACCUCGGCCUCGGGAAUCGUCUUGGCCUCAGGAACUGCCUCGACCACCGCGUCGGGCACCGCAUCGGGAACGGCCUCGGGCAUCUCCUCGGGCACUGCAUCGGGAACGGCUUUGGCCUCGGGAACCGCCUCGGACACCGCAUCAGGAACCGCCUCGGGAACGACCUCGGCCUCAGGAACCGCCUCGGCCUCGGGAACCGCAUCGGGAACCGCCUCGGCCUCGGGAACUGCCUCGGGCACCGCAUCGGGAACCGCCUCGGCCUACGGAACAGCAUCGGGCACCGCCUCGGCAUCGGGCACCGCCUCGGCCUCGGGCACCGCCUCAGCCUCGGGCACCGCCUCGGCCUCCGGAACAGCAUCGGGCACCGCCUCGGCCUCCGGAACAGCAUCGGGCACCGCAUCGGGAACGGCAGCGGACUGCUCGGGAAUGUCCUCCUGGACGGCAGCGGCCUGCUCGGGAACGUCCUCCUGGACGGCAGCGGCCUGCUCGGGAACGUCCUCCUGAACGUCCUCCAACAACAGUAUGUUGUUGCUAAUAUUAAUGUUGA
ensembl:lncRNA